rnacentral:rRNA from 1 species
CAGUAGCCGCGGUAAUACGUAGGUGGCAAGCGUUGUCCGGAAUUAUUGGGCGUAAUGGGCUCGCAGGCGGUUUCUUAAGUCUGAUGUGAAAGCCCCCGGCUCAACCGGGGAGGGUCAUUGGAAACUGGGAAACUUGAGUGCAGAAGAGGAGAGUGGAAUUCCACGUGUAGCGGUGAAAUGCGUAGAGAUGUGGAGGAACACCAGUGGCGAAGGCGACUCUCUGGUCUGUAACUGACGCUGAGGAGCGAAAGCGUGGGGAGCGAACAGGAUUAGAUACCCCGGUAGUCCCUGUCUCUUAUAC